AUUGAACGCUGGCGGCAUGCCUUACACAUGCAAGUCGAACGGCAGCACGGGUGCUUGCACCUGGUGGCGAGUGGCGAACGGGUGAGUAAUACAUCGGAACGUACCUUAUCGUGGGGGAUAACGCAGCGAAAGUUGCGCUAAUACCGCAUACGCCCUGAGGGGGAAAGCGGGGGACCGUAAGGCCUCGCGCGAUUAGAGCGGCCGAUGUCUGAUUAGCUUGUUGGUGAGGUAAAAGCUCACCAAGGCGAUGAUCAGUAGCUGGUCUGAGAGGACGAUCAGCCACACUGGGACUGAGACACGGCCCAGACUCCUACGGGAGGCAGCAGUGGGGAAUUUUGGACAAUGGGGGCAACCCUGAUCCAGCGAUGCCGCGUGAGUGAAGAAGGCCUUCGGGUUGUAAAGCUCUUUUGUCAGGGAAGAAACAGCAGCUCUAACACAGUCCGCGAAUGACGGUACCUGAAGAAUAAGCACCGGCUAACUACGUGCCAGCAGCCGCCGUAA
rnacentral:rRNA from 1 species